rnacentral:rRNA from 1 species
GAUGAACGCUAGCGGCAGGCCUAACACAUGCAAGUCGAGGGGUAGAGUUAGCUUGCUAACUUGAGACCGGCGCACGGGUGCGUAACGCGUAUGCAAUCUACCUUGUACAGAGGGAUAGCCCAGAGAAAUUUGGAUUAAUACCUCAUAGUAUCUUUACCUGGCAUCGGGUAAUUAUUAAAGUUCCAACGGUACAAGAUGAGCAUGCGUCCCAUUAGUUAGUUGGUAAGGUAACGGCUUACCAAGACAAUGAUGGGUAGGGGUCCUGAGAGGGAGAUCCCCCACACUGGUACUGAGACACGGACCAGACUCCUACGGGAGGCAGCAGUGAGGAAUAUUGGUCAAUGGACGCAAGUCUGAACCAGCUAUGCCGCGUGCAAGGAAGACGGUCCUAUGGAUUGUAAACUGCUUUUUAUACAGGAAGAAACAACUCUACGUGUAGAGUCUUGACGGUACUGUAGGAAUAAGGAUCGGCUAACUCCGUGCCAGCAGCCGUCGGU